AUUGAACGCUGGCGGCAGGCUUAACACAUGCAAGUCGAGCGGGGGAAGGUAGCUUGCUACCGGACCUAGCGGCGGACGGGUGAGUAAUGCUUAGGAAUCUGCCUAUUAGUGGGGGACAACAUCUCGAAAGGGAUGCUAAUACCGCAUACGUCCUACGGGAGAAAGCAGGGGAUCUUCGGACCUUGCGCUAAUAGAUGAGCCUAAGUCGGAUUAGCUAGUUGGUGGGGUAAAGGCCUACCAAGGCGACGAUCUGUAGCGGGUCUGAGAGGAUGAUCCGCCACACUGGGACUGAGACACGGCCCAGACUCCUACGGGAGGCAGCAGUGGGGAAUAUUGGACAAUGGGGGGAACCCUGAUCCAGCCAUGCCGCGUGUGUGAAGAAGGCCUUAUGGUUGUAAAGCACUUUAAGCGAGGAGGAGGCUACUUUAGUUAAUACCUAGAGAUAGUGGACGUUACUCGCAGAAUAAGCACCGGCUAACUCUGUGCCAGCAGCCGCGGUAAUACAGAGGGCGCGAGCGUUAAUCGGAUUUACUGGGCGUAAA
rnacentral:rRNA from 1 species